rnacentral:rRNA from 1 species
UACGGGGGGGGCAAGCGUUGUUCGGAAUUACUGGGCGUAAAGGGCUCGUAGGCGGCCAACUAAGUCAGACGUGAAAUCCCUCGGCUUAACCGGGGAACUGCGUCUGAUACUGGAUGGCUCGAGUUUGGGAGAGGGAUGCGGAAUUCCAGGUGUAGCGGUGAAAUGCGUAGAUAUCUGGAGGAACACCGGUGGCGAAGGCGGCGUCCUGGACCAACACUGACACUGAUGAGCGAAAGCCAGGGGAGCAAACGGG